CACGUAGGCGGAUAUUUGAGUCAGGGGUGAAAUCCCAGAGCUCAACUCUGGAACUGCCUUUGAUACUGGGUAUCUUGAGUAUGGAAGAGGUAAGUGGAAUUCCGAGUGUAGAGGUGAAAUUCGUAGAUAUUCGGGGGAACACCAGUGGCGAAGGCGGCUUACUGGUCCAUUACUGACGCUGAGGUGCAAAAGCGUGGGGAGCAAACA
rnacentral:rRNA from 1 species